AGCUUUCUGACAAGUGUCUGUACCUUAGGAAAACAUUUCUUACUCAGUUUCUGUUGGAUUUUAAUGAAUAACACAUGCAGCAGAGAUGUGUUCGGAUGAAACUGAGAAGAAAAAUAUUGACUUCUUUCCAUCGAGGUAUUAAUACUGAAAGCCACAAGAUGAAAAAAGCACUCUUGGAACCCAAGAAAACUUUCUGGACCCCAUACAAUGAAGCAAUCACGGUGGAAUUAAAAGGCAUAUGGCUCAUGUUUGGUGAUAAAGGACUUUCUGUCACUCUCAGUGGAGAAGCCAACGUCAGGCCCUGUGGCCAGGCUUGUAGAUGAACCAUGUGUUAAAGGAGAAGCAGUUAUUCCAAGGAGAAGCUAGCUGGGAAAAGAUGGUACGAUAACCACAUGUUCCCCAGUGUUCCUGAAUUCCGGUCAGUAAGGCAAUUAUCUGCAUCACGUAGCUUUUCCUGCUGUAAUACAUCCAUACGUGGGAAAAGAACAAACAUGGGAGAGAUCCUCUGUCCAUACUCCAGGUCACAGGCAUAAGCAGAGAAUUAAUCAUCCAGAAGAAAUCAUUUCAGGAUCCAAAGUAUCCACCAAUCCUUACACUUUUCCAUCACUGGUGAUUUCUGGCAGGACAAAUACAAAUUUGGUUCUCCAAAUAUUAGAU